AUUGAACGCUGGCGGCAUGCUUUACACAUGCAAGUCGAACGGUAACAGGUUAAGCUGACGAGUGGCGAACGGGUGAGUAAUGCAUCGGAACGUGCCCGAUCGUGGGGGAUAACGCAGCGAAAGCUGCGCUAAUACCGCAUACGAUCUGAGGAUGAAAGCGGGGGACCGUAAGGCCUCGCGCGAUCGGAGCGGCCGAUGACAGAUUAGGUAGUUGGUGGGGUAAAGGCCCACCAAGCCGACGAUCUGUAGCUGGUCUGAGAGGACGACCAGCCACACUGGGACUGAGACACGGCCCAGACUCCUACGGGAGGCAGCAGUGGGGAAUUUUGGACAAUGGGCGAAAGCCUGAUCCAGCAAUGCCGCGUGCAGGAAGAAGGCCUUCGGGUUGUAAACUGCUUUUGUACGGAGCGAAAAGGUCCUUUCUAAUACAAGGGGCUCAUGACGGUACCGUAAGAAUAAGCACCGGCUAACUACGUGCCAGCAGCCGCAGUAAAAC
rnacentral:rRNA from 1 species